UAAGGAAUAUUGGACAAUGGACGCAAGUCUGAUCCAGCCAUGCCGCGUGAAGGAUUAAGGUCCUCUGGAUUGUAAACUUCUUUUAUAAGGGACGAAAAAAGGCUUUUCUAAGUCGUCUGACGGUACCUUAUGAAUAAGCACCGGCUAACUCCGUGCCAGCAGCCGCGGUAAUACGGAGGGUGCAAGCGUUAUCCGGAUUCACUGGGUUUAAAGGGUGCGUAGGCGGGCAGGUAAGUCAGUGGUGAAAUCCUAGAGCUUAACUCUAGAACUGCCAUUGAUACUAUCUGUCUUGAAUAUUGUGGAGGUAAGCGGAAUAUGUCAUGUAGCGGUGAAAUGCUUAGAUAUGACAUAGAACACCUAUUGCGAAGGCAGCUUACUACGCAUAUAUUGACGCUGAGGC
rnacentral:rRNA from 1 species